UAUUUCCAAAUGUGAACACCUUCUGCAACAUCAACUAUUCUAAAUGGCCAAAAUCCUAGCAUCAUAAAUUCACUAAAAUCUAAGGAAAACCCAUCUGUACAAUUAAUUUAUUUUCAAUUUACUCCUUAUAGUCACACUGGGGGAGGGGGAAGCUCUGUGCCAUCGUUCCAAGUCUAUUAAACACAUUACAUAAAUCUUCAUUCAGGUGGGAGAAAUGACUUACGUGUUGUUUCUAUUAGGCAGAAAGAAAAGCAUAAACAAUCCAUAACAUCAUACCAGCAAGAAUUGUUCAAAAGGCCUUUGGGCUCAGGAUGUUGGCAUGCCUCUGAGGCUGCUAUCAGACGGCUCAGCCCUGAGCUUUGGCAGAGCCACUGCCAUGUUGAUCUGCUUCAUUACAUCUUUACAAUUUGUUCAGCGCAUUAAGAAGCAGUAUUUCCCUUGUGAGAGGAAGAUCCAUCCCUCACUUUGAUAGCGUCACCUUUAAAAGGGACUCACAAUCAAGAGAUUGCCUUGAGUCUCAGGUGAGACUUUGGACUUGGACUAGGACUGGACUUUUGGGCAAUGCUAGAACUGUUAAGAUUGUGGAACUCUUGGAAACAAAAUAAAUGCAUUUUGAAUUCUGAGAUGAACAUGAGAUUUUGGAGGCCAAGGAUAGAACAUUAUGGUUUGGAUGUGAGAUGUCCCCCCAAAGCUCCUACAAAUGUAAGAAUAUUCAGAAGUAACAUGAUUGGAUUUUGAGAGCUAUGAACUAAUCAGUCCAUCCUAGUUUGAAUGCACUGACUAGGUGUAACUAUAGGUAGGUGGGAUGAGGAUGGAAGAGGUGAGUCACUGAGGACAUACCCUAGAAGAAUUGUCCUUCCUGCCACCUAACUCAACUCAACUCUACUCUUCUCUUCCCUUCCCCCAUUUCCUUACCCCGCUACGAGUUAACAGCUUUUCUCCAUUGGGCCCUUACUCCAUGAUGUGCUGCCUUAUCUUGGGUCCAGAACAAUAGAGUUGGCCUUCUAUGGACUGAGACCUCUGAAACUGUGAACCCCAAAUCAACUUUUCCUUCUCUAAAUUGUUCUCAAUGGAUAUUUUGGUCACAGUGAUGAAAAGCUAACCAAAACACUUGGUCAUUUUUAGCAGCAAAAACCCAAUGGCAUUAUUUCUCAAUAAUAUAUCUUGAUGUUAUAUCUCUCCCUUACUGAUUCAAUUAUAAAGUCUAUACUUUUGUUUUUGCAAUUUGAUUUUCAAAAUUAUUUUAAUUUGUAAAGAUAAAAGCAUGCAUUUCAUCUUUAUUUCACUCUCAUUAAGUUGUAGGCAUUAACCAAGACUUAAUUUUAUAAUUUUCAAAUCACGUAUUAUUCACCCACUCUUUUAUCAUUUGUCUUUUCCAGGAAAUAAAGGAACUCUAAGCUCCUAGUAUAUGCCUAAUAUUUUUCACAUUUUUCUUUUAUCACUUCUUCUUAUGUAAAAUAUCUACAUUUAACAAAUUCCAGUGAAUUGCCAUUUGACAAGGACAAUUUAAUUUAUACAAUUGUAGUAACAUUAAACUAUGUUAACCUCUUCAAUUUUUGGUCACCACCAAUUUUUUAAAGUUGAACGCCAUGUCUCAUGUUUCUCUUGAAACAUUAUCAUAUGAUUAUCACAGAUCUAGAAACUAGAAAAUGCUGAUUUUUUUAUGCCAUGUUCAAAGGCUGCUAAUACUGAUAUGAGUAGCUAAUUAGACUAGCUCCAAAUAGUACAUAAAUUAUUGACACUUACUAGUAUGUUAUCAAAAGAUAGGUGAAGAAACAUAGGGGAGGUAAAAUAGGCGAAAACAUACAAUUUCCAUAAGCAAAAUCUGACAAACAGAAAAAUUCCCAUAAUCCUUCGAAAGAGGGAAGUUACAAAUAAUGUUAGCAAUAGAUCAUGUUCAUUGUGCUCUUUUUAUGUGCCAAGGUGUGCCAAACAGUUCGAAUAACUUAUCUAAUCGAAUUUCCAACUGGCCUGUAAAAUAGUUUUUAUUUUUUUCCUAAUGAGAGAAGAAGACAAUGAAGCAAAGUAAAAGACACAUCUUGAAUCUAACUUGGACCUCUGUUGUCAGUGUCCGUUUUCUACUUGAGUUCUGCUUGAAACCUGGAAAAUGUAAACUCUGAGAAAAUGAUCCCAGUGACCUUUAAAAUUCAUGUGCUUUUUUUUCCUGAGCUCCAACUGUUCACCAAGUAACUGAACCCAAAGGGUGAUGUGGGAGUGGAAGAGAAACAAAGUCUUUGGGGGAAAACUCUUCAUUUUGUCCCUUCUGAACAGGAAAUGGAUGGAAGGAUUAAUAUAGGAAGAGAAACAGGAUCCAGAGUGAUGAAGGGGAAAAAAAUGUGAGUAGAUUAAAGAGUGGGAGAGGAGAGCAGAGUGGUGAAAGAAGAGAAGCACGUACACUUAGGGUCCUGCCAGAGGGCAUUCUCUUCCCAGAAGGUGACUCUACAAUAGAGCAACAUCCCAUGAUCCACUGAGCAACAAGGAGUUCUCCUACUUGCUGCAAGCCUCACGGAUCUUAUUGGUAAGAGAAAUACACUGGUGCUGGCUGGUGGCCCCCUUCCAAGCUCUCACUUGAGUUGUUAUAACUUGACUAAUUAGGAGGUGUGCUUUCUCCAGAGCAAACAACUACAUCAGGCAAGAUGAAGAGCCACUUAGAUAAACUGAUAUCCCUUGGACCAGGUGGCAAAACAUGGUCCCCAGGUGUUCACAAAAAUCCUGCUAAUAAAUAGAGGGUUGAUUAUAAACUCCAUGUUCUUUUUGAUGGUUCUUAUGGUAGCCAUUUCACAUUGUUUCUUUUUUUUCUAAGUAUAUCAUCAUCAUUAUUAAUAAUAAUAGUAAUUAUCAGCUAAAUUAAAAAAAACUGCUUUGGGGUUGGAUGUGGUGGUGAAUGCCUGUAAUUCCAGCUAUUCAGGAGGCUGAGCAAGAAGGAUUGAAAGUUUGAGGCCAGCCUGGGCAACUUAAUGAAACCAUGGCCCAAAGUUUAAAAAUAACAAGGGCUUUGGUUGUAGCUUCAUAGUAGAGUACUACUGGGUGCAGACUCCAGAGGGAAAUCUACUUUUGGUAAAUUCCUAAUUUUACCUUCUGAGAAUUUCACCUCUCAGUGGGGUAGUGAACACAAGGUAGAGAACUAUAAUUCUGUUCUUAAUUGAUACCAACAAAGAAUUUUGGGGAGGUCUACCAGAGAUGAAUUAGUGACAGAGUAGAGAAAUCACAGAUGAUUAGAAUUCACCUGGUAGAUCACUGGUAUUCUGAGCCAGGCAAAUUAGUGAAUCAUAAAAGAUAAAGGAUAUCAGAAUGGGAAGAAAAAAUUAUAAAUGAAAUACCACAUAAUUAACAUAUUUUGCCACCUGGCACCAUAAUGUUCUGCCAGCAUCAAGAGAUAAUGCAAAUUCACCCGAUAUUGGAUGAUGAAGAUAGAGCCAGUAGAGAUGCACAUACACCCAGCUUCAUUUCUGAAGUAUUAGAAUGAUGUGGAACACUGUGUAACAGUUUCCAUACACAGAUUCCAAAGGGAAACAACACAUAUCUAAAAACUGCAGAAAAUUUAUCUCAAUGCUCCUGGAUUUUUAUGUAUGUAGAAAUAAGCACAAGUCUAUUAAAUACAUUUUUACCUAGCAUAUAUGCAUCCGUAUUGCUAUAGUUUGUGUCUUAAAUGUCCACAAAAUUCCACAUGUUAAGGACGUGGUCCCCAGAUUAUGCUACUGGCAGGUGAAGAAACCUUUAAAAGGUAUGGAGUAGUGGGAGGUCUUUAGGUCAUUUGAAGAGUGCCUUUGAAGGGGAUUGUGUGACUCUGCCCCUCUCCUUCCUCUCUUUUGUUUCCUGGCAAAAGUUUAUUCAUGAUGUGCUAUCUUGCCCCAGAUCCAAAACAAUGGGACCAAUUUAUUAUGACUGGAAACUCCAACAUUAUGAGUCAAAAUAGACCUUUACAAGUUAAUUGUCACAGGUAUGUCAUUAUAGAAAUGACUGACUCAAUUAUUUUUCCCUUUGAUUUAACUGCAGGGGGGAGCUCCAUGUUCUGAAAGUUGAAUGGCAAUACAGAAUCAUUUGAGUGGAUUAGCAUUGUUGGAAGCAUGUAGCCAGUCACUGAGCUGCUAAAAUGGAGAGGAGGAUGGAAAUUAGAAUGCUAAUGUAAACAUGUCCUUAAAGGAGUAGAAUGCCAUCAACAGCAAUAGUAUUGCCUUUCUAGUAUAUAAAUUCUAGUAUAAUAUCAGUGAUACAGAAAGGGAUAUAGAAGACCCUUGGACAAAACAGUUUUGUCCUCAACAGCUGUGCAAGUAUAAUAUCAUAACUCUUUCUAUAAAGCAUAGGGCCAAGGUCAGUGAGUGACACAGGCUGAGUUCAAGGGGGUGACCCGAAGGAAAGCACUGAGGCUUCAAAGGAGAUUUUGUUGGUGAGUCAAUAUUACUACCUCAGCAGGACGAGCUACUUGGAUAAACAGAAAUUGACAGAGAAUAAUAUUUCUGAGAGAGAACUAUCCUCCAGCCUGGUGGAAUCAUCCUUGCCUCCAUCAGCAUAGAAGAAGUCAGCUGAAUCUCUGGUUGAGGUCAACAGAAUAUAUGGAGAGAAAUUCAUGCAUAUUUGGAGAUUUAACCCAUCUUCUUCUUGGAUAAAAGGCGAAUAGGAGUUACGAUUUUCCAUAUAUGGUAGUGGAAUAAGAAGAGGAAAAAGAAUCAGAAGUAGCAUCCUUAGCCAUGUUUAUUACAGGUAUUUAAGUCACAUUAUUAUACACAAGUGGAUUAUAUGUGAUGGUGAGACAAGAAAAAAAAAAGAUAUCAGUAUUAACCUCCAAGAAGAAUCCAUCCAGGAGGAAGAUGAAGCUGUCAAGGGAUAUUCAUCAAUGGCUUUCUAUGUUUCCUAGGAUGAUAAGGCCCAGUUGGAGGAAUGACCCCAAAACAAGAAUAAAUACCUUGGGGUGAGAUUGCUGAACAAUGAAUAAUAACACUGAACAAACAAGAAAAGAGGUGGUAAUAUUCAGUUGUAAGAUGAAUACUGAAAAAGGAUGUCAAUUGAUUCACAAUGAUUCCAAAUAAGAAGGAGGACUCAAAUCUUUAACUUUUGUUUGUUUUUACCAUAACUUUUUUUGCUCAAUAUAAGAACUUGAUGACUACAUGGCAAUGGAUAGAUCAAAAUCUUUAAAUUCCACAAGAGGUUCAACACCUGUUGGAGUUGUCAAAUGUGUUCUUUCUUUCUUUUGAGUUUUCGUUGGUAUUUUUUUAGAAUUCAUUUUGACAUAAUUAUAAAAGCACGAAUACAUCUUGUUCUAAUUCAGUCCCCAGUACCUCUUCCCCCUCUGUCCCUUCCCUCUAUUGAUCUUUCUGUCAUUUACCUGUUGUUGAUUUUUUUAAAAUUAAUUUCUUGUGUAUGUACACUAUGGUGAGAUUCGCUGUGACAUAUUCGCAUAUAUACAUAGGAAAAUUAUGUCAGAUUCAUUCCCCUGUCUUUUCUUAUAUUGAGUAUUAUGUAGAAACUGUUGGCUCCUAUAUUCACCUUGGUUCUUCAAUAAUGAGAUAUCCUUACCACAAUGAAUAUAAUUUUACAAAUUGGGAAACAGAUCCUUAGAGAAAGCUCUGCAAGUGUGAUUAUUAGCUUUAUGUGUAAACUUGACUGCAGUAUGGGAUAUGCAAAUAGCUGCAAAAAUAUUAUUUCUUAGUGUGUCUGAGUUUUUCUGGAAGAGAUUAACUUUGAAUCAGUGGAAUGAGUAAGGAAGACCUUCCUUCACGCAAUGUGGGUGGGCAUCAUCCAAUUGGCUAGGCCCCAAAUACAACAAAGAGGUGAAAAAAAGGCAAAUUUACUCAAAUUUACUUUUCUGGAGCUGAGAUACCCUUUUUCUCCUACCUCGAGAUAUCAGAAUUCUAGGCUCUGUAGCUUUUGGAUUCUGGGACUCAUCAGUGGUUCUCUGAUUCUCAGGCCUUGGACUUGAGAAUUUACCCCAUGUGCUUCCUUGGUUCUUAACCCUUUGAACUUAACUGAGCCAUGCUACCAGCUCCCUGUCUCUUCAGCUUCCAGAUGGCUUAUUGUGGAAGUGCUCAGCCUCCUUGACUGAAUCAGUUGCUUCUCUUAACAAAUUCUCCUUUGUCUAUGUAUCUAUGUAUCCACCUAUGUCCAUCCCUCCCAUGCUCCUAUGGGUUAUAUCUCUCUGAAGAAUCCUGACUAAAAUCAUGACUUAACAAAAUCAUCAUUUCAAAAGAGAACUAACAACAUGACUACCUUAUACUCCAUUCAGCUUUUUUCCCCCCGACUAAACCAACUAUUUCCUGACCCAUGGAAAGAAUGGGCAAUUCUUCAUUGGGAUUUCUCUAAGUGGUCUCAUUGCUUUGUACUGUUCUGUGUGGAAGCACUUUGUGUAGUUCCAGAAAGUACAGCUAGGAUGAGUUAAAUUAAGGACAUGAAUCUCCAACAAGUUUCAAACUUCAAAGUAGAAGGCACAAUUUUCUAUGUUCAUUGAACUCUUCCUCCCUUUCUUUCUUUUACUGGUUCUUGGAUCCAUGGGGUGCUUUACCGCUGAACUAAGUCCUCAGACAUUUUUAUAUUUUUAUAGUUUAUUUCAAGAUAGGCCCUUACUAAGUUGAUGAGGGUCUCACUAAAUUUCUGAGGCUGGCCUUGAACAUGCAAACCUUCUGACCCAGCCUCCCAAAUUGCUGGGAUUACAGGCAUGCACCAUGAUGCUUGGCUUAUCAGACCAUUUUGUUUUCUUCCUUAAUACACACCUAAACUAUGUUUCCCAGUUCACUGGCAAUUGUGAAUUGGGACCAUGUGACUGUUUUACAACAAAUACAACAUUAAGGUUUGGGGAUGUGGUUCAGUGGUAGAGUGUUGCCUAACAUAUGUGAAUCUCUGGACUCAAUCCCCAGUACUACAAAAUAUCAGAUAAAUAAAAAAUACCUGUUAAAGUUACAAAUACAAUGCUAAGCAAGAGUGAUGUUACUUCCUGCAGAACUCCCCCACGAAAGAAAACCCACAGUGUCUCAUGUGAUCUUUCGCACUCUCUUUUAUCUAUCCUUUGUAUCCUGGCCCAGCUUACAGGACUGAGGGAAGGAUUCUGAAGAAUCAUUAGACAGAGAGAAUUUAGGUCCUGAGUUAGUAAUGGUAGUGCCAAUCAGAAGAUAUAGAAUAGUGAGGAAAAUCAUAGAGCAAGUCAUUCUUCAGGAAUUCAUUGUAGGCUCAUAAAUCAGACUUAAAAGAAUUCUUGGGUAUACUCAGUAUUGUCUAAAGUAUUUGGUAGAAAUUCAUUUUUUUAAUUACUAUUAUGGGAGAUUUUCCACUUAAUGAGUUAAGGUAGUCUGUAUGGCCAAUAUAGGCCAAGAUAAAAGUAAAAAUAAGUACUAAUGUUCUAUGAGAUGCUAACUAUGAUUGAUAAUACUCAAUUGUAUAUUUCAAAAUAGCUAAUAGGAUUUUAAAUGUUCUGAACACAAAUAUUUGGAAAGAUAAAUAAACAAAUAUUUUCAUUUCAUCACUGCAUAUCAUAUACAUGUUUUGAAGUACCACAUUGUACCACAUAAACAAGUAUGUGUCACUUAAAAUUUCAAAAAAUAAAAAUAACAUUGUUGAGUAUAACAAUGGAGAGAAGUUCAGACACUAAAACAAAGAAACUGAAAAGUAUCAAAUGGGACACAAUUAUCUCUCCUGUAGAAGUGGGAAGAUUGCUUCAGAGGUCAUCAGAGACCCAUCUGCUAUUCUUUCUCCUCUUAGGGUGCUGUCCUCCACCCUUUCCUUGAAUGUGGCUGACAUUCAUGUCCACAUUCUGAACCAAGGCAAGGAGACGGCAGUAGAGAACAAGCAAUUCAAUAUUAAACAGGUUUGUUACUGAAGAGUUUUAAAGACAUUUAAAACACUUACACUCAUUGUGAGGGACUAGGCAUAUGGUGAAGAGCCUUUGAGUUCAAUCCUGGUACCAAAAGGGGGAAAAAAAGAAAAAGAAAAAGAAACCUUUUUCCCUUGAAGCAUUUCUGGGGCAAGUUUUCUACAGAAAUAUUAUCCUAUCAGAAAUAUUAGCCUGUAAUUUUUUUCAUUAUAAAAGGAAAGUCCUCUGAAGUUCACCUACCCUGGUUUUGUGGAAGUGACUACCACUUCAACCUCCAGCCCCCACUAGGGAAGUUCUUGUUGGAAUAUAACUAACCACGUAUAACUUAAUGUAUGUCUUGUCACAGAUUCUAAAGGGGAAAAACACAAAUCAAAAUAACUUCAGAGAAUUUAUCUCACAGCUCCCAAAUUUGUGUAUGUGCUUGGAAAUAAGCAUGAAAUGCUUUCUCAAUUGGACUUUCUGAAGAAGGAGAAAUCUUUACCCACACAAUAAAAAAAAAAAAAAAAUCUCCAAGCUA